rnacentral:rRNA from 1 species
AUAUCGCGAGAGAGUUUGAUCAUGGCUCGGAACGAACGCUGGCGGCAGGCUUAACACAUGCAAGUCGAGCGCCCCCGCAAGGGGAGCGGCAGACGGGUGAGUAACGCGUGGGAAUCUACCCUUUUCUACGGAAUAACGCAGGGAAACUUGUGCUAAUACCGUAUGUGUCCUUCGGGAGAAAGAUUUAUCGGGAAAGGAUGAGCCCGCGUUGGAUUAGCUAGUUGGUGGGGUAAAGGCCUACCAAGGCGACGAUCCAUAGCUGGUCUGAGAGGAUGAUCAGCCACAUUGGGACUGAGACACGGCCCAAACUCCUACGGGAGGCAGCAGUGGGGAAUAUUGGACAAUGGGCGCAAGCCUGAUCCAGCCAUGCCGCGUGAGUGAUGAAGGCCCUAGGGUUGUAAAGCUCUUUCACCGGAGAAGAUAAUGACGGUAUCCGGAGAAGAAGCCCCGGCUAACUUCGUGCCAGCAGCCGCGGUA